AAUCAUAACAGUUUUUUUCAUUAUGGAAGAGAAAAGAUGAUCAUUCAGCCAGCUAUGGAAGUAGCAGCAGCUACACUAGUCUCAGACAUAAUCCAAAUUCUUGGUGUCCAUCAUGAUUAAUAUGCCUUUUAUAGUUACAUGUCAGUUUCUAAAUAACAUGGUUUUCCGGUUUUGAUCUCUGAUAUAUGAGUAUGUGAAUUUGCAGAAAUGUAUGCUGGUAACUAAUUUUCUCAAAAUAAUUCACCAAAGUGCCAUUUGAAAAUGAGGAUUUUAAACAAUAUCCAACUUAAGACAAAUGGUAACUGUCUUGCCAGUGAUUCUUACACUAAUGAAAAUUUCUGAAUUGUCUUAUAAAAGAUAUUAAGGUAAAUCACUCCUGUGACUUCAUUACUUGGAAAGCUCAUUAGAGCCAGAUUAAAAUUAUUUUCCUAUGCUAGAUAUUUAUCUAAAGCAAUGCUUCUCAAAGUGUUUUUCUCUGAAUAACGUGGGAUCACUGUUAGACAUGCAAAUCAUCCCGCCCCACCUUAGAAGCUUGGGGGAUGGGGUCCCCAUCACCUGUGCUGUAGCAAACCCUGGGCGAUUCUGAUGCACGCCUAAGUGGGAGCAUCUCUCCUGAGAAAGCGUGAGUCUCUGACUGGAAACAUGCCAGAAAAGCUGCCUGCCACAGGAUUUCUCCCAGUAGUCAUUUGCAUCCCCGAAACGCCUGCCGUGGAUUGGGUGUGAAACUGUUCGUUGAAGGUAAUUGGGAUUUGACCCUAUUUGCAAUGAAUAAGCACUGCCUUCUCAAUUUAAUACCCAAAUGAUGGUCUCAUUGCUUCAGCUGCAAGUAACUCAUUGAUCCUGUGACUUCCAAACUGUAACUAACUCAGGUUAACCAGGACCAGGUCUUGGUGAACACACUCGGCAGAGGUUUGCUGCUCCUCCUCUCUCUCCACCCUCGACAGGGUAGAAAGCAGGAGCUGCUGAUUGCGCUUGCUCUCAUCUGUCCCAUAUCCAGCCUGGAUUUGCUGGUCCGAGUCACCCUCGUGCGUGGCUCCACGUCCCUCUAAUUGUGGUCAGCUGGAGGAAGGGUCGUAGGGGCGCUCUUCCAGGCACUCUCACGUUGAGCGUAAGCUCUUCAGAGCAGGAGACGGGAGGAAACAGCGUCACCCCCUUGUCUGGCAGGGAAAGACGAGCGCAGAAAGACAUACAGGUGCUGGACAAACACUUGCUGGAUGAACACGGGAAGAAGUACACACAAACAGCAUUGGGCAGCUUUCUCUGUUAGCAGAGAUGGGUGGAACGGAUUCUUCAUGCAAAGAAGAAUUCAGAGGUGAGGCAGAGAGCAGUGGUAAGUGAGGGAGCGAGGUUGAGUGGGGUAGGACAUCCAUCAGAAUGGAUGGGCACCUCUCUAGGCAGUUUGAGAGAGAGUGCCCAAGCAAGGUCACAUGUUUAAUAGAAUAUACUGGACAGGCCACGUGGGUGGCUCGGGAAAGAGCUGAGAGCUGAGUGUGCACUCUGUAUCAGACUGAGACUUAUAAGGGAAUGGGGUCCAGUUCUUGCCAUUUCUCCUUCCCCUCCUCCCUUUUCUCUAGGAUAAAUGCAGGAGUAUGAAUAGGUACAACAAAUGCAGGAGUAUGAAUUAGGUACAACAAAUGCAGGAGUAUGAAUCAGGUAAGAUUCCUCUCAACAUCAGUACUCAGUGAUGCCAGACAGAGACGCUUCCCUAGGCUGCCCUCCUUGGGGGAAAGCUGUGAAGGUUUGUUCCCAGUGUUAUCGGGCUAAGGAGCCCAUCUGAUGCUGAGCAGAGAGGAUUUUCCUGGUAAUCUCCCUUGAGGUGAAGCCCGAGACCACCUGUUAAUUACUGGGGCCUGAGCAGGACUCCUGGUGUGAAUCCUGAGCUGCUUCCAGGGUUUCUGAGUUGCCCUGGAUACUUUGUUUUCCUUGGGUACCUCUCACCCACACAGGCUAAUUUCUUUUUUUUCAAUCUUUUCAAUUAUUUAUUUAUUUGACAGGUAGAUUUAUAGACAGAGAGAGAGACAGAGAGAAAGGUCUUCCUU
rnacentral:lncRNA from 1 species